rnacentral:lncRNA from 1 species
CCCAUAAGUACACCGCCCGACGGUAGGCACGACACUUGGUCCACCCCUCAACGCUGCAACUUGAGCGUCCUCCAAAGAAGCCAUUGAAGAGUCCACCACCCGGCGGUAGAUAGCGUCGCCCGGCGGUGAUUGCGGUACUUUUCUUCACCCCUUGGCGGUGCCCCUUAAGCGCGUGACAGUGGAUGCAUUGAAGGCCAAACCGCC